GGAAAGGGCGCCCGCUGCCAGCAGACGCGCCGCCUCAAGACUCAGCGCGCGCGCGGCGGUGGCGGUGGCGGCGGCGCCUCCUGCACCUAUCUAUAGAUGUAAAAGUUGGACCUUAAAGACUGGAAGAAAAUGGAGUCGUUUGAGCUGUGGUGCUGGAGAAGGUUCCUGCGUGUUCCCUGGAGAACAAAGGUGCUGUGGAAGAAUUCAUUGGAGAAAACAAUUAUGCUUGGGAGAAUCUGGGGUAAAAGAAAACCAGGCCAUCAAAGAACAUGGCAGCUGGACACCAUGAAAGCUGAUUCCAGCCAGAGCAUAGAAAACGUCAAAGAAGCAGGGCAAGAUCGAAAGAUGUGGAGAGAGACCUGGCCCAUAGAAUCACCAAGAGUCAGACCCAACUGACGGAUAAGAUCAUCACCA